rnacentral:other from 1 species
GGAGCCCUGCGGGAUUCCCAGGGGGUGACAAUAUGGUUGAAUCCCUGGCGUAGAAACCCGGGAACCGUCUCUGUCCGUGGUGUGCCAGCCCGGAGAUUUCCGGGACGCCUGAAACGGUUAUAACGGUGCCCACCUGUAGAGGCAAGGGUUUCGCCCGUCGCCCUCUGCCGAUUCCUUCGGGGCUUCC